UACGUAGGGGGCUAGCGUUGUCCGGAAUCAUUGGGCGUAAAGAGCGUGUAGGCGGCCCGGUAAGUCCGCUGUGAAAGUCGGGGGCUCAACCCUCGGAAGCCGGUGGAUACUGUCGAGCUAGAGUACGGAAGAGGCGAGUGGAACUCCUGGUGUAGCGGUGAAAUGCGCAGAUAUCAGGAGGAACACCAAUUGCGAAGGCAGCUCGCUGGGACGUUACUGACGCUGAGACGCGAAAGCGUGGGGAGCAAACAGG
rnacentral:rRNA from 1 species